CCCCAACAUAAAGAAUAUCGAAUGCAAUGUCUAUUGACAUUUAAUGUUAAGGGAGAUAGAAGCAAACCAACUGUAUGGAACUUUAAAUACAAGAAUCGCUGACAUCAACACACUCACUCAUAUCCUGUUGAGAACAUUCCCAAACUUGAACACAGUUGCCGAGAGAAAAGGAUACAGCACAACUGCAUCAAUACCAAAACAUAAGUCAUUAUGCUAAGUUUUUGUAGGAAUGACUCAAUAAAAUAGUAAUGUUCUUGUGACAAACCUGCCUAUCACUAUCAAGACCCUCUCUUGCAGCCUUUGCUAU
rnacentral:lncRNA from 1 species